AAAACUAGACAUAAAUAAGGUGAUGUGGCGCCUCUCUAUGGUCACCAUUCCUAUUUAUCUUUUUUUUUUUUUGCAUUUUUCUCAUUUUCUUUUUCCAUUUAUGUGCCAUAUUAAAAAACCAAAAUAUGCUCCUUUAAUUCUCUUCCUAAUAUCUUAAUAAAUAUAAUUAUAUUAAAUGUGAUACAUUUAACACUUUCUAUAACAUUUAAAAGGAAAACGUUUAGAUUCAUUUUAUUGUCAUAAAAGAUCUGAUAUUAUUACCCAACAUUUCUCAUUCCUUAUAAUUUACUCUCAUUAUUUUUUCAAUUUUGUGAUCUUAUAGAAAUUUAAGGCAGAACGUGGGAAGACCACGAACCUUCUAAUUAAACUGAAUAAUUAGUUCAUAUUAAUGUGACGGAAUUCUCUAUUUUGGUGGUACUAAGAUAUAUCCCGGGAAGAGCAAUUUAUUCAUUUAGAUUUUCAGGACGAAAUUCCCCAUUUUGGUGGUGCCAAGAUAUAUCCUGGGCAGAGCAAUUUAUUCAGUCAUAUUCUCAGACACUACUAAAAGAAUAGAAAUUAGCAAUGGACAAAUUCUAUUGCAACAACAAAUCAGUUGGUAAUUUUAUUUAGGACGGAUUUAGCACUUAGAGCAAUUUAAUGAUGGAUUAGCAAUGAAAUUUAUAGCUAAUUUCAAUUUUUUUUCCUAAUGAAAUACGAGAAAUGGAGGGAAUGAUUGCAUGGGAAGCUCAUGAGAAGAAGAUGCAAGCAUUUUACUCCUGUCGAAGAAGGGGAAUUAUCCCAUUUAAAAUAACAGAUAGGUGAUCCAUAUCAAUAUUUUUGUUUCGUUUACCCGCCAUUGUAAAUGAUUCUCUUGCUAAUGAAUAUGUUUGUAUUUCAUUUAUCUUCUCAAUAUACAACGUAAAUAACAACAUUAAUUUAAUUUUUUAUUUGUCUGUUUGAAGUUUAAAGAUGAGGUUAUGUAAUCUAAAGUCGUAUUUGGGUUAUUUAUUUCUCUAAUACUCCUUUUGAAUCUUUCUAUGUUAGAUAAAAGUUAAAUACACUUCAUUUUAUAUAUAAUUAACUAUAUACUACAUAUAUAGAAGCA